rnacentral:rRNA from 1 species
AAAUUGAAGAGUUUGAUCAUGGCUCAGAUUGAACGCUGGCGGCAGGCCUAACACAUGCAAGUCGAACGGUAACAGGAAGCAGCUUGCUGCUUUGCUGACGAGUGGCGGACGGGUGAGUAAUGUCUGGGAAACUGCCUGAUGGAGGGGGAUAACUACUGGAAACGGUGGCUAAUACCGCAUAACGUCGCAAGACCAAAGAGGGGGACCUUCGGGCCUCUUGCCAUCAGAUGUGCCCAGAUGGGAUUAGCUUGUUGGUGAGGUAACGGCUCACCAAGGCGACGAUCCCUAGCUGGUCUGAGAGGAUGACCAGCCACACUGGAACUGAGACACGGUCCAGACUCCUACGGGAGGCAGCAGUGGGGAAUAUUGCACAAUGGGCGCAAGCCUGAUGCAGCCAUGCCGCGUGUAUGAAGAAGGCCUUCGGGUUGUAAAGUACUUUCAGCGGGGAGGAAGGUGUUGUGGUUAAUAACCGCAGCAAUUGACGUUACCCGCAGAAGAAGCACCGGCUAACUCCGUGCCAGCAGCCGCGGUAAUACGGAGGGUGCAAGCGUUAAUCGGAAUUACUGGGCGUAAAGCGCACGCAGGCGGUCUGUCAAGUCGGAUGUGAAAUCCCCGGGCUCAACCUGGGAACUGCAUUCGAAACUGGCAGGCUUGAGUCUUGUAGAGGGGGGUAGAAUUCCAGGUGUAGCGGUGAAAUGCGUAGAGAUCUGGAGGAAUACCGGUGGCGAAGGCGGCCCCCUGGACAAAGACUGACGCUCAGGUGCGAAAGCGUGGGGAGCAAACAGGAUUAGAUACCCUGGUAGUCCACGCCGUAAACGAUGUCUACUUGGAGGUUGUGCCCUUGAGGCGUGGCUUCCGGAGCUAACGCGUUAAGUAGACCGCCUGGGGAGUACGGCCGCAAGGUUAAAACUCAAAUGAAUUGACGGGGGCCCGCACAAGCGGUGGAGCAUGUGGUUUAAUUCGAUGCAACGCGAAGAACCUUACCUGGUCUUGACAUCCACAGAAGAAUCCAGAGAUGGAUUUGUGCCUUCGGGAACUGUGAGACAGGUGCUGCAUGGCUGUCGUCAGCUCGUG